rnacentral:lncRNA from 1 species
UAUGGACAUGGGAAAAAAUGUUGAAUUAUGAUAAAAUACACAAACAUAAAAUUUACCAUCUUAAACAUUCAUUUAUAGACACUUGAGUUGCUUUCACCUUUUGGCUAUUGUGAAUAAUGCUGCUAUGAGCAUGGGGGACAAAUCUCUCUUCAAGUCCCUGUUUUCAGUUCUUCAGGGUAUAUACCUAGAAGUGGGAUGGCUGGAUCCUAUGAUGAUUCUAUGUUCAAUUUUUUGAGGAACUGCCAUAUUGUUUUCCACGGUGGCUACACUCAAACGUUUUACAUUCCCACCAACAGUGUAUAAGAGUUCUAAUUUCUCCAUAUCCUCACCAACACUUGUGAUUUUCUGGGUUUUGACAGUAGCCAUCGUAAAGGGUCUAAGUUGGUCUGGCCAAGGUUUUUGAACUACAGAUGUCAC